UACGAAGGGGGCUAGCGUUGCUCGGAAUCACUGGGCGUAAAGCGCACGUAGGCGGAUCUUUAAGUCAGAGGUGAAAUCCCAAGGCUCAACCUUGGAACUGCCUUUGAUACUGGGGAUCUCGAGUCCGGAAGAGGUGAGUGGAACUGCGAGUGUAGAGGUGAAAUUCGUAGAUAUUAGGAAGAACACCAGUGGCGAAGGCGGCUCACUGGUCCGGUACUGACGCUGAGGUGCGAAAGCGUGGGGAGCAAACAGG
rnacentral:rRNA from 1 species